CCGUGAUCCGGGUUGGGGACAGUGUAUGGUGGGCAGUUUGACUGGGGCGGUCGCCUCCUAAAGAGUAACGGAGGCGUACGAAGGUAAGCUCAAAUUGAAAAAACUCAAUUGAAGAGCAUAAUAGUAUAUUGCUUGCUUGACUGAAAGAUUGACAAAUCGAACAGGGACGAAAGUCGGUUAUAGUGAUCCGGUGAUUCUGAGUGGAAAAGAUCAUCGCUCAACGGAUAAAAGGUACUCCGGGGAUAACAGGCUGAUACCGCCCAAGAGUUCAUAUCGACGGCGGUGUUUGGCACCUCGAUGUCGGCUCAUCACAUCCUGGGGCUGAAGCCGGUCCCAAGGGUAUGGCUGUUCGCCAUUUAAAGUGGUACGCGAGCUGGGUUUAGAACGUCGUGAGACAGUUCGGUCCCUAUCUGCCGUGGACGUUUGAGAUUUGAGAGGGGCUGCUCCUAGUACGAGAGGACCGGAGUGGACAAACCUCUGGUGUACCGGUUGUCACGCCAGUGGCAUAGCCGGGUAGCUAAGUUUG
rnacentral:rRNA from 1 species